rnacentral:tRNA from 1 species
GUAGCUAUAGUUUAACCAAAACAUUAGAUUGUGAUUCUAAAAAUAGAGGUUGAAACCCUUUUAUUUACC